rnacentral:misc_RNA from 1 species
GAUGAAGAACGUAGCGAAAUGCGAUAAGUAAUGUGAAUUGCAGAAUUCAGUGAAUCAUCGAAUCUUUGAACGCACAUUGCGCCCGCCAGCAUUCUGGCGGGCAUGCCUGUUCGAGCGUCAUUUCAACCCUCAAGCUCUGCUUGGUGUUGGGGCCCUACGGUUGACGUAGGCCCUUAAAGGUAGUGGCGGACCCUCUCGGAGCCUCCUUUGCGUAGUAACUAACGUCUCGCAUUGGGAUUCGGAGGGACUCUUGCCGUAAAACCCCCAAAUUUUCUAAUGGUUGACCUCGGAUCAGGUAGGAACACCCGCUGAACUUAAGUAUAUCAAUAAGCGGAGGA